GGAAAAUUGGGAGAGACUGGCAAUCAAAAGCUGAGCAUUUUAUCUCAUGAAAUAAUAAUGACACAUAAAAUGUUGUAAAGGAGUGAGUGGUCUUAUCAACGACAAUGCUCACUGUGGUGGAUGGAGUAACAUGUUGACGGAGAGGAGGACAGCCCUGUCCCAGCCCCUCCCCAGGACACCCUGAGGAAGUGACUUCCAGGAGCUUGAGGUUCUGGGGAAGGAGAGCUUUAGGACUAGCUUGGUGGCUGAUGAAGAUGGGCACCGGGAGGGAGCAGAAAGGAGGCAAACUUUGGAGUCAGUGAUUAGAAGGAAGAACUUCAUUUUCACAUUUUGCAGUUUACUUUUGUCCACGCCCAACACAUUCUGAGACUCAGCUUCCUCUUCUGUAAAAUGGAUUAACUGCUACUACCUCCUACACCCUGUUCUGAACUUCUUCCUGUUUAGAGAAUUGACUUGCAUUAGAGGUUUACUUGGAUAGAUACAUUCUUCUUUUAAAACACAAAUAUACCCUGGUAGGGCCAAGUCAUUCAAUCAAGAGAGACACAAAGCAUCUUCCCACUCAAACUUGGAAGAGAUCUGACGCUGCUGGUUCCUGGAGACAGGAGAUGCAAUCACCAACCACCCUGAACCAGACCAAGCCUCACCACAAGAGCCACGCCUAUGACCUAUGCCUUCUUUUUAAUGCUAUGAUGUCUCCAGGAAGAGCUUAGGCCUUAUUACCAUAACCUGCAGUGUAUGCGGAAGCAUGUUUUCCAUCUGAUCCUGUGUAAGCCAAUACCCUUCUCUCCCUUUUGAAUAUUUAUUCAUCAUCCAAAACAAAAGGUCCCUGCUCCCCUUUGUUUGAGGAUGCCAUGACUUUGGAAAUGAUUCUGCAUGGUCUCCUAUUUGCUGCAAAUGUACUUUACUUUAUGAGACAACUGCUUCUGGUGGAGAGUGAUUUAGCUCGUCAGGAGGCAAACCCACUUUGGUUCAGUAACAACCUCACCAAAUUCACCCAAGUCCUAACACCAUGUGCUCUAGAGUUCGACUUGCUGUGUUUGAAUCCUGGCUCUGUCAGUGACUAAUGGUUUGAACUGGGGAAAUUCGCUGAAGCUGCCUGGUCCUCCCCUGUUUCCUCACCUGUUUAGUGUAGGAUUUUUGUGUAGGGUGUAGGAGUGUUGUGAAGUUUCUGGCAUACUGUAAACUCUCAAUAAAUGUUAACUAUUCUUGAUAGCUGAGAGUUUUUAGGGCAUGGCCUCGUGAAGAAAUGGGACUGGAACUAGUCCCAGGAUGGAUGUAAGCAAGACUAGAGUAGAAAGGAGAGAAAAUUCAAACCCAAGGCCCCUAAGAAUCCAUACAGGUCAUGACCCACAUGGCUGAGAGCUCUGAUGCAUGUUGUAGGAGUCACCUUGAGGACUGCUCUGAAGGGUAGAUGUGAAGUAUGUGUACG
rnacentral:lncRNA from 1 species